CCCGCCUGCUGCCUCACGUGCUCUGAGGGUGAAAGGCUUUGCAGAAUCAGGCCUGGCGCUAGCCUGGGCUUGCUGUUUGCUGGAGAGACCUGCUUGGUCAGCUUCUGGAGGCUUCCAAGUGCCCAGGGGCCUAUCCACCACCUUCCUGUGAAUAGCACCUCGGACGAAUCCCGACCAGGAGGCCCUGCGGAGUAAAGAGAGCUCAACUCCUGCACACCCAGCAUCAUGUUGGGGAGGGGACGGGGGUCAGCUCCGCAAGUCCAGACAGCAGCAGUUCCUGGGAUACGCAGUAUUUGCGGGGACCCCGACCUCCGGAUCUCCCCCUUACUCUGGCGUCUCCUCAAGCCAUGCCUCUCGAGCCCUGGACUCCCUCACCAAUUUCAGCUGCGCGAGGGCAGCCGGAAGAGCCCUGGACAUCUGGAUCUGACAUGUUAGAUAAGUCACCUUGUCACCUUACC